UACAGAGGGUGCAAGCGUUAAUCGGAAUUACUGGGCGUAAAGCGUGCGUAGACGGUUAUGUAAGUCAGGUGUGAAAGCCCCGGGCUCAACCUGGGAAUUGCAUUUGAGACUGCAUAGCUAGGGUGCGGAAGAGGGAAGCGGAAUUUCCGGUGUAGCGGUGAAAUGCGUAGAUAUCGGGAAGAACACCCGUGGCGAAGGCGGUUCUCUGGGACGGUACUGACGCUGAGACGCGAAAGCGUGGGGAGCGAACAGG
rnacentral:rRNA from 1 species